rnacentral:rRNA from 1 species
ACUUAAGCAUAUCAAUAAGCGGAGGAAAAGAAACCAACAGGGAUUGCCCUAGUAACGGCGAGUGAAGCGGCAACAGCUCAAAUUUGAAAUCUGGCUUUCGGGCCCGAGUUGUAAUUUGUAGAGGAUACUUUUGAUGCGGUGCCUUCCGAGUUCCCUGGAACGGGACGCCAUAGAGGGUGAGAGCCCCGUCUGGUUGGAUGCCAAAUCUCUGUAAAGUUCCUUCGACGAGUCGAGUAGUUUGGGAAUGCUGCUCUAAAUGGGAGGUAUAUGUCUUCUAAAGCUAAAUAUUGGCCAGAGACCGAUAGCGCACAAGUAGAGUGAUCGAAAGAUGAAAAGCACUUUGAAAAGAGAGUUAAAAAGUACGUGAAAUUGUUGAAAGGGAAGCGUUUAUGACCAGACUUGGACUUGGUUAAUCAUCUGGGGUUCUCCCCAGUGCACUUUUCCAGUUCAGGCCAGCAUCAGUUUUCGCCGGGGGAUAAAGGCAGCGGGAAUGUGGCUCUCUUCGGGGAGUGUUAUAGCCCGUUGUGUAAUACCCUGGUGGGGACUGAGGUUCGCGCUUCUGCAAGGAUGCUGGCGUAAUGGUCAUCAACGACCCGUCUUGAAACACGGACCAAGGAGUCGUCUUCGUAUGCGAGUGUUCGGGUGUCAAACCCCUACGCGUAAUGAAAGUGAACGCAGGUGAGAGCUUCGGCGCAUCAUCGACCGAUCCUGAUGUUCUCGGAUGGAUUUGAGUAAGAGCAUACGGGGCCGGACCCGAAAGAAGGUGAACUAUGCCUGUAUAGGGUGAAGCCAGAGGAAACUCUGGUGGAGGCUCGCAGCGGUUCUGACGUGCAAAUCGAUCGUCAAAUAUGGGCAUGGGGGCGAAAGACUAAUCGA